rnacentral:rRNA from 1 species
AAUGAACGUUGGCGGCGUGGAUUAGGCAUGCAAGUCGCGCGGAAAGGUCCUUCGGGACACUCGAGCGGCGAAAGGGAGAGUAACGCGUGGUUUAUCUACCUUCAGGACCGGGAUAGCCAAGGGAAACUUUGGGUAAUACCGGAUAACGUCUCCGGACCAAAGGUGUGAGUCCGCCUGGAGAUGAGACCGCGUCCUAUUAGCUAGUUGGUGAGGUAACGGCCCACCAAGGCGACGAUGGGUACGGGGUGUGAGAGCAUGACCCCGCUCACUGGGACUGAGACACUGCCCAGACACCUACGGGUGGCUG